rnacentral:tRNA from 1 species
GCCAAUGUGGCGUAGCCCGGAUGCAUUAAAACUCCUUAUUGUAGGGUAAGAACGCACCAGAUCCAACGGGUUUACCGUGAAGGUGAUACUGAAGAUCUGGGUACCGUGAGUUCAAAUCUCACCAUUGGCA